AUUAGCAAGAGGAGGAAAAUGAGCAUCUAAGAGCAUUGGGCAUGUGAACAUGGAGAAAGGCCUAAACUAGUGCGUCCCUGUUCAACUAGGGUCCAACAUUUGUUUUGGACUUUUCCUGAUGCCUCCCAAGCCUAUUGUUCUUAGGUAUUCCUUCCUCUCCCUUAUGAUC
rnacentral:pre_miRNA from 1 species